ACGGGAGGCAGCAGUGGGGAAUAUUGCACAAUGGGCGAAAGCCUGAUGCAGCAACGCCGCGUGAGGGACGACGGCCUUCGGGUUGUAAACCUCUUUUAGCAGGGAAGAAGCGAAAGUGACGGUACCUGCAGAAAAAGCGCCGGCUAACUACGUGCCAGCAGCCGCGGUAAUACGUAGGGCGCAAGCGUUAUCCGGAAUUAUUGGGCGUAAAGAGCUCGUAGGCGGUUUGUCGCGUCUGCUGUGAAAUCCCGAGGCUCAACCUCGGGUCUGCAGUGGGUACGGGCAGACUAGAGUGCGGUAGGGGAGAUUGGAAUUCCUGGUGUAGCGGUGGAAUGCGCAGAUAUCAGGAGGAACACCGAUGGCGAAGGCAGAUCUCUGGGCCGUAACUGACGCUGAGGAGCGAAAGGGUGGGGAGCAAACAGGCUUAGAUACCCUGGUAGUCCACCCCGUAAACGUUGGGAACUAGUUGUGGGGUCCAUUCCACGGAUUCCGUGACGCAGCUAACGCAUUAAGUUCCCCGCCUGGGGAGUACGGCCGCAAGGCUAAAACUCAAAGGAAUUGACGGGGACCCGCACAAGCGGCGGAGCAUGCGGAUUAAUUCGAUGCAACGCGAAGAACCUUACCAAGGCUUGACAUAUACGAGAACGGGCCAGAAAUGGUCAACUCUUUGGACACUCGUAAACAGGUGGUGCAUGGUUGUCGUCAGCUCGUGUCGUGAGAUGUUGGGUUAAGUCCCGCAACGAGCGCAACCCUCGUUCUAUGUUGCCAGCACGUAAUGGUGGGAACUCAUGGGAUACUGCCGGGGUCAACUCGGAGGAAGGUGGGGAUGACGUCAAAUCAUCAUGCCCCUUAUGUCUUGGGCUUCACGCAUGCUACAAUGGCCGGUACAAAGGGCUGCAAUACCGUAAGGUGGAGCGAAUCCCAAAAAGCCGGUCCCAGUUCGGAUUGAGGUCUGCAACUCGACCUCAUGAAGUCGGAGUCGCUAGUAAUCGCAGAUCAGCAACGCUGCGGUGAAUACGUUCCCGGGUCUUGUACACACCGCCCGUCAAGUCAUGAAAGUCGGUAACACCUGAAGCCGGUGGCCCAACCC
rnacentral:rRNA from 1 species